rnacentral:lncRNA from 1 species
UUUCAAUAAGAACCGAUCAUCUAAAAAUUUCCAAUCCUGCUAUCUCUAGUCACCCAGUCCCCAAAGAAAGUCACUUGUCAAACAAAUGGUGUGUGUUUCUGUCUACCGACACAGAGAGUGUAAUUGUCUCAGCAGACUCGUGUUCCCUGUUCAGCUCCUCUCUUUGAAUGGGUGACAGCCAUGCAUCAAUGAGGAGACCCCUUGCUUGUUUUCCCUGGGGUCCUAGGAGAUGAGGGGUUGUGCUGAGUGAUGAACCAGUUCCCUUCAGGCUUCAGGGUCUUGGAGGGGAGUGGAGGAGGGGGCGAGUGGCCUGAGGCGUCUACUCCCGCCUCCAUUUCUGCUGUUGUCAGAGAGCUUCCUGGCUUCCUUUUGUGAUCAGCCGCUCUUGGAAAGGCUGCAGCAGAUGGCUAAUUACCAUAAUGCGCAGAGCUUUUGAGGGUCCUGGGUGCAAACCCAGGCGUGACCAAGCCAAGAGCAGCUGCAUCUAACGGGGCAUGUGGAGACAACAUUAGGCUUUACCCACACACGCAUUCUGACCUUUCCAAUGGGAAGCUGAUGGCAUGGUUCAGAACAGAUGGCCAAGAGAAACUCGAGGGAAAAGCCCUCCCGACCAGCUGUAGUGUCCCUUUUCCAGCCUGCUAGCCUAACAGCUCAGAGCUGACAUGAAGCUCAUUAUCCCCAUUGUAUCUUUCUCAUGGUGUUUAUUCUCAAGGCAAGUACAAACCCUGGUAGUUCCAUUUUUAGCAGUACAAGCUAUUGGGAAAUUUGGUUUCUAAACCAAAUGAGGCUUCAGGCAGUUUGGGUCUGUCACACCCAGCCUGGUUUCUACAUUUGGCAUUAUAAUAUCUUUUCCCACAGGUAUACUUCAGGACUCCCACUAGCUGAGAUCCGUAUUUGGUCACUCCUGAACUUGGAGGGUGAGGCCAGCCGUGGGGAGCCUGCUCGGAGAAAUCACCUGGCCCAAUUCUGGGAAGAAGGAAGAGUGUGGGCCAAGGAAUCUGGCAUCCUCUGACCCACCAUGAGAGCUUCAUCCCCUCAAAAUACCAUGAUUCCCAGUCCAAGUUCCUCCUUUGAACUGCAGCUACUCUUGGAAAGGAUAACCCAUGAAAUCACUCUGUGUGAAUGAAUUUGUCAGAUGUCUUCCUGCCUGUCAGAAAGGACCUAAUAAUUUGCCUGGAAAAGAGGGAAUAUAAAGGUUGGUGGAGAAGGACAGAUAGUGAAAGGGAAAACUGCAGGCCCCAGAGACAAGUUUACUGACUUCCGUUUUGCUGAUGACCAGCUCUGCCUACAGUAUCGUGGCACCAUUCAGGAGUUCAGAGACAGGCUCCACCCAGCUGAGAGCAGUUGGCAUAGUCCUACUGUAUAUAUAAUUCCAUGUAAUGACUGGUUGGGGUUAAUCAAAUAUAAUGCCCAACCCAGACCUAUUAAAUUUCACCACAAAAGAGGCCUUAAUCAGUCUUUUAUCAGCUUGGUGCUCUGGCCUAAGAAGACUGCUUUUGUUUGCCCAUAUAAGAGACAAUGGGAGAGCCAGGAUCAGCCUGCUCUCUGGAGUACAACAAGUGAAUUGUCCACAAACAACAGAUCAUUCAAGGCCAUGGGAGAGGAAAGGCAGGAGAGGCUGCAUGAAUCUACAAAAGUGCUCACUGUUAAUGGUCAUGGCCCUGAGUGUUUAAAUUCAGGCCACAUUCCCGCUGGAGCUUCCAAAAUAUAGGCAGGACAAGAACAAAAAGACUCCAGUGUGCUCCAUGUAAGCCUAUCUGGCUUUUGCCCUCUGCAGGACAUUCUUGUUUGCUACUUGCUGAAAAGGGAAAGGAAAACUGACAUUUGGUUCUCUCACUAAGCAAAGCCCAGAUCUCCUGGGGGUUUGAUGUGCUUCAUGGGCUAAGGAUUAAAGCGAUGAGUAUAGGUUCUAUGCCAAACUGCACCUGUCCCAAUGCCCAAGCACUCUUGGAGUAUGGGAGGAAUGGGAGGAGAAGGGAGACAAAAGGCAAUGAAG